GCCAGCAUGGCGUAGUGGUUUGAGUGCUACACUACAACUCUGGAGACCAAGAUUCAAUUCCCAGCUCGGCCA